rnacentral:rRNA from 1 species
CGAUGGUGCGCGAGGAACCUACCAGGGCUUGACAUGCGCCGGAGCGCACCGAAAGGUGCGUGCCGCUUGCGGCCGGCGCACAGGUGCUGCAUGGCUGUCGUCAGCUCGUGCUGUGAAGUGUUGGGUUAAGUCCCGCAACGAGCGCAACCCCUGCUGCCUGUUGCCACCACGAGAGGUGGGGACUCAGGCGGGACCGCCGGUGACAACCGGAGGAAGGUGGGGACAACGUCAAGUCAUCAUGGCCCUUAUGUCCUGGGCUACACACGUGCUACAAUGGCCGGUACAGAGCGCAGCGAGGCCGCGAGGCGGAGCGAAUCGCUUAAAGCCGGUCCCAGUACGGAUUGGAGUCUGCAACCCGACUCCAUGAAGUUGGAAUCGCUAGUAAUCGUGAAUCAGAAUGUCACGGUGAAUACGUUCCCGGGCCUU